ACUCCUACGGGAGGCAGCAGUGGGGAAUGUUGCACAAUGGGCGCAAGCCUGAUGCAGCGACGCCGCGUGAGUGAUGAAGGCCUUCGGGUCGUAAAGCUCUGUGGGGAGGGACGAAUAAGCUUGUGGCUAACAUCCACGAGCCCUGACGGUACCUCCUUAGCAAGCACCGGCUAACCAUGUGCCAGCAGCCGCGGUAAU
rnacentral:rRNA from 1 species